AUUGAACGCUGGGGGCAGGCUUAACACAUGCAAGUCGAGCGGGGUGAUGGUGCUUGCACUAUCACUUAGCGGCGGACGGGUGAGUAAUGCUUAGGAAUCUGCCUAUUAGUGGGGGACAACAUCUCGAAAGGGAUGCUAAUACCGCAUACGUCCUACGGGAGAAAGCAGGGGAUCACUUGUGACCUUGCGCUAAUAGAUGAGCCUAGGUCGGAUUAGCUAGUUGGUGGGGUAAAGGCCUACCAAGGCGACGAUCUGUAGCGGGUCUGAGAGGAGGAUCCGCAACACUGGGACGGAGACGCGGCCCAGACGCCUACGGGAGGCAGCAGUGGGGGAUAUUGGAAAAUGGGGGGAACCCUGAUCCAGCCAUGCCGCGUGUGUGAAGAAGGCCUUAUGGUUGUAAAGCACUUUAAGCGAGGAGGAGGCUCUUUUGGUUAAUACCCAAGAUGAGUGGACGUUACUCGCAGAAUAAGCACCGGCUAACUCUGUGCCAGCAGCCGCCGUAA
rnacentral:rRNA from 1 species